GAUUAAAAUUUUCAUCUAUUUGUAUUGUUAAAAACGGGUGUGGCUAACAAAACAACCUGAUAGUUAUACAUGACAUGUCACAUAUAAAUCAUACUAACAUAUGGGGACUAGUUUUAAAGUAGAAAUCAAUGAAAUUUUUAACA
rfam:Gossypium hirsutum cultivar TM-1 unplaced genomic scaffold scaffold1822.1, whole genome shotgun sequence